rnacentral:rRNA from 1 species
UGCCAGCCGCCGCGGUAAUACGUACCGGACGAACGUUAUUCGGAAUCACUGGGCUUAAAGAGUGCGUAGGCGGCUUUACAGGUGGGGUGUGAAAUCCCACGGCUCAACUGUGGAACUGCGCUCCAAACCGUAGGGCUUGAGGGAGACAGGGGUGAGCGGAACUGAUGGUGGAGCGGUGAAAUGCGUUGAUAUCAUCAGGAACACCGGUGGCGAAGGCGGCUCACUGGGUCUCUUCUGACGCUGAGGCACGAAAGCUAGGGUAGCGAACGGGAUUAGAUA